UGGGGAAUAUUGGACAAUGGGGGAAACCCUGAUCCAGCGACGCCGCGUGUGUGAAGAAGGCCUGCGGGUUGUAAAGCACUUUCGGUGGGAACGAAAUAUGCCGGGCUAAUACCCCGGUAGGCUGACGUUACUCAAUGAAGAAGCACCGGCUAACUCUGUGCCAGCAGCCGCGGUAAUACAGAGGUGGCAAGCGUUGUUCGGAAUUACUGGGCGUAAAGGGCGCGUAGGCGGCCUACUAAGUCAGACGUGAAAUCCCCCGGCUUAACCUGGGAACUGCGUCUGAUACUGGAGGGCUUGAGUAUGGGAGAGGGAUGUAGAAUUCCAGGUGUAGCGGUGAAAUGCGUAGAUAUCUGGAGGAAUACCGGUGGCGAAGGCGGCAUCCUGGACCAUUACUGACGCUGAGGAGCGAAAGCCAGGGGAGCAAACGGGAUUAGAUACCCUGUAGUCCCUGAGCGGGCUGGCAAGGCGCAU
rnacentral:rRNA from 1 species